UUUAGUUGUGUACAAAAAAUAUAGAUCCUGUAAGUUUCGGUGCGGGGGUCGUUGCAGGCUGUGCUUCCCGGCCAUUGUGUACACCAGACGGGACAACUGCAAUGUCAUCUAAGAAACGUUCUACUUGACUUUAUGCGGACGUCGUCAAAACAGCGGUCCAUUUUCACCAAGCAGCGUUGACGUCUUUCACGCCUUUUCUUUGCUGUUUAUACGAAAUAAACGUCAUAAUGGUCCAUGGAAAAGAAUAGGGCGACUUUAUAACAGCUGGUGGGGUAGCUCUAUGGCAUUAUAAAGAGCAGAUUGGUAAAUUAUUAACGGACCUAACGAAGUGGGUAAACAUGAAGAUAAAGUCAUUGGCAAGAUACGCACAAGAAAUCUUCAGAGCCGUUGCAGAAACGACAAGGCAACUCGUGUUAUCAGCUUAUCAAUCCCUGAGCAACCGAUGGAAUUCAAUUUCCCCAGAAAACCGAAGAAGGAUAUUAGACGCUACGGGUUGUGUUGUAAACGCAGGUAUAAAUGCAGCCAUUGGAAAUGCUGAAAAUCAAAUCAGAAUUAGAUUUCCAAAUCCAGACGCACCUGAAAGGCAAGUUUUAGAAGACAUGGCUUCGGAAAUGAGGCGAUUUCAAAUUGAGCAUGGACAGUCAAUGACCAGAUAUCUAACAUAGCUUGAUUGAGCAAAGGCUUAUACAAAACUUAAUAUUCGACUAAUCACCAUGAAAUUAUGUCAUCUUUUGUCAAAACAAAUACUAGUAUGAUAUAUACAUAAAAACAAAUAUGAUAUAUACAUAAAACAGUGUAUGAUCAACAUAAAAGAGAUGAGCAUUCCUUUUGUUUGUAUAAAAAGUAUUUUAAGACAUAAUAUGUACAUACAGUUUAGGGCUUAUAAUCACUAGGUUUCGCUUACUGCUGUUUACAUAUCUGCAUUUGUGUACGAUUUGAAACAUUAAUCAUUUAUUUCUAUGUAGACAACAUGAUAUCUUAAAAUUCUAGUAUGAGAGGAUCACUAUCAAAAUAAAUAUUAUAUAUGUGUAUGUUUAAAUUGAAAUUUGCAUGAUAUCAAUUAACUUAUGUGUGUAUUAUGAAAAUGGAUUAAUUUCAUAAAACUCUUGUAUUGUAUUGUAUUCGUAAUAGGCUACUUGCUGUAGAAUAUUUAGUUACUUUUAUGUACUUAUCUCUUGAUUUCUUUUGAUUAUGAAGAAAAACAUGCAAACUCUUUAAAA